GUGAGGAAUAUUGCGCAAUGGAGGCAACUCUGACGCAGCCAUGCCGCGUGCAGGAAGAAGGCGCUACGCGUUGUAAACUGCUUUUAACCGGGAAGAAACCUCAGGACGUGUCCUGGUUUGACGGUACCGGAGGAAUAAGCACCGGCUAACUUCGUGCCAGCAGCCGCGGUAAUACGAAGGGUGCAAGCGUUAUCCGGAUUCAUGGGGUUUAAAGGGUGCGUAGGCGGAGCGUUAAGUCAGUGGUGAAAUCCUGCAGCUUAACUGUAGACUUGCCAUGGAUACUGGCGCUCUUGAGUGCGCAUGAAGUGGGCGGAAUGUGCCGUGUAGCGGUGAAAUGCUUAGAUAUGGCACAGAACACCAAUUGCGAAGGCAGCUCACUAAGGCGAUACUGACGCUGAGGCACGAAAGCGUGGGGAUCGAACAGGAUUAGAAACCCCAGUAGUCC
rnacentral:rRNA from 1 species